UGUGUGAGUCUUUGUGUAACUUCUAGCUACUUCAGUGUGGUUUUACUGGAGUACUUCCAUGUGCGAAUGUGUAGGAAAGUGUGACAGUCAUGCAGGGUGUUGUUGAAAAAGAGCAAGCUGCACUGUUGAUUUUCCCAAGAUAAAUAAAGGUUGGACAACUUAAUGAAUGAAAAAAACAAACAUAAAAUAAGGCUAAUCUGCUGUCCUAAUAUGCAACAGGAACAUUUUUAUUCUUCUUCACAGAAACAUACACAACUUAAUUUAACAGUUUUUUUCUUCUUAAAGUAGAUUAGUUUUACUUUCCAGCCCAAACUCAACCUCCAGCAGAAACUCAUCUAAGUGUCCACAAUAAUGUCACAGCCUUCCAUUUAUAGCAAAGUAAAUGGCACUCAAUUAUUAAGUGGCACUCCAUUGCGGCAUGUAUAAUGUGAUGAAAGUUCAGAUUCAACCUGACAGAAAAAGUAUUUCUAAGUGUUUUAGUUCCAAAAAAAAAUUCUCCUCCAGCUUCCCUGACGUCUAAAACACAUGUGACCGUGGGGAGAGCCUUAGUACUUGAUGUAGACAUGAAGAAGAACUGAACAGCAGUAAGUACACUCCGAAAACUCUCUUCUUGUUUCUAGAUACUGACAGGUGACCUCUUGGAAGGGCUGCAAUUAACUAUUAUAUUCAUUAUUAAAUAAUCUGUAGACGACUAUCUUUUUUUAUUAGACCUCCAUUGGAAACUAGUGGUUUAAUCGACUAAUUUGUUUAAUUACUGCUUGGAAGUGCAGUGCUAUAACGUCGCAGCAGAGAUUGCUUAAUACAAAAUGCGGCAGAAAGGACAUAUAGCCAUGAAGUCAGCUCUCAGUUUAACGUGUCAACAAGACACUCUGUACCAGAAUUCUUCCAAAAUUCGAUUUCUUAAAGAGGAACUGUACCGAUUUUACACAUCUAACUCUGUUAACGGGUCUUGGUAGUGCUACUGCAUAAUGUGAAAAUAGUUGUAUAAAGCCUUUUGUGACUCCAGAGGGAGCUGUGUUAAAUCUGGUAAAUUGCCUCAAGUGAUGUCAUCAGCCGCUACUAGCAUAACCGAAACCGAAUCUCUGACCCAACUGUCGACGGUCGGGUUGCAUUGUGGAUAAUGUAGGUGACAAGAAAAAGAAGAAGAAUGUGUGUGGAAUAAAAAAGGCGAUUUCCCCGUUUCUGCUGUAUCGAUUUUAAUCCUUUCCCAUUGUGAGUCCGACAAUGUUACAGGAGUGCAGUGCUAAAUAAAUGGAGUGAUGUGACAGAUUAUCCAUCAUAAAAGUCGGUCGGUAACACGCAGAAUAUACUUGUCUCAUACAUAAGUGUUACACACAGUGUUCCCUUCCUAAUACGUUAAACAGUUGCCACCCCUCAUUUUAAACAUGAUCUUUUGUGAGGAGCUAAUCAUAAUAUUGCCCACCACUGCGAUGGCUUGCACACAGCAUUACACCAAUAGGUAUUGCAAUAAUGCCCUCGCCAAGCUUUGUAUAUUAUAAUGACCACCCAGGUGUGUGUGCGUGCGUGCGUGCGUGCGUGCGUGCGUGCGUGCAUGCGUGCAUGUGUGUGUGUGUGUGUGUGUGUGUGUGAGAGAGAUUAAAGGAACUCUGAGUCUGUGUGAUAUCAGCACGGAGAGUUUAAGUUCACAGUGAAAGAAUGAGAGAAAAAAAGUAAAGAGAAGCGAUGAUAAAGGCGAGCUCAAGGCAGAAUGGAGAGCAGAAGUAGAAGAGAUAGAUGAGGAGGGAGUGGGAGAGUGGUAAAAGAAAUAACAUAAAACGAAGCAUCGUGGAGGAGGCGACGGGUUUGAGGGGAGCUGAAGACAGGAGGGAAUUAGUAAGAAGAUGAGUUCUUACAUUGUCUGCUCUCCUUUUGUUGGUUAACUUUGUGUAUGUUAGCUGUAAUAUUUGUACAAGUGGAUGCUGCUGCUUGUCAUAUGUGUCCUUUAGUGUGCAUGUGUAUUACUUUUAUGUUGAUACCAUUGAUUGUACAGUCUGGUCACGUGCAUGUGUUGCAAUAAGUGUAGUAUAUCAGUGUAUACAUUGUGGGUUGCCUGUAAGGUCUUAUCGCUCUCUUACCUGUAACUAUCUGUCAGCAUAAGAUCUGUGUGACUGACUAUCGCUAUGACUCACUGACUGACUGACUAACUGUGUGUGGGUGCGUUCAUAUGUGCAUGGAAGUUAUCCAGUAUGUGGUAUGGAGACUGGCUCUCUCCUCCCAGACUCAAUAUUAAGUCCCAAGAAUAAUUCAACAUGCGUCUACUCCAAUGCUUAAACACUCACAACAGGGCUUGAUUACCUCUCAGCAGGAGGGAGAGAGGCGAGACAGCAACAACACAGGGAAGGCAAAGGCGGGAUAACAAAGCAGAGGACUGUGUGAAGGCAGAGCGCUGCCAUUGAAAAGAGAAAGAAAUGAAAAUGAAACUCGACAGGAGAGAGGCAGGGAGGUUGAGAGAGAGGUCCAAUCUCAAAGCCAACACUUUGAUUUGUAUGGGCUUGCCACCAGAUGUGGGAUUUAAAAAGCGUCAGACUCACGAGUUGCCAAAUGGUCCAGAGGACCUGCUGUCAGCCCUCCAUACAGAGUGUCCAUCAAUGAUCCCGCAGCCACUUAGCCAGCAGCAUCCCAGUGGCGUAACCUAGCAACACCUGGAGCGCAUGGCACACUACCGCUACUGUUUAGCAAGAAUUACAAUUUUGGGGUGUUGACAGAUGACAGCUGGAAAAUUUCAAGCAGGCCCUGUCUAAAUUCACAUAUUAACCAAAACUUAAAGGCACUUAAAUCAGCAAUCUGCAAUUUUGGGGCAUAUGAGCCUCUGUAAUUAGGAGGAUUUGAUUAGGUUAAUGGUUUGAUAUCAGGCUGUCUGUGUGUGCAUAAAAUGAUCGUCUUGCUAACUUGUGAGCCGGCUGUGUGCUGUAAGAUGCAUGUGCACAUAUGUGUAGGUGUGCGCUUGUGUGUGUUUUGUGGUUGCCAAACAGGGGAGCAUGGGCUGAAAGUGUUGUCCAGGCGCCCCAGCGCCCCAGAGCUCACCUGUGUACCGAUAAACACUGCUGCAACCCUGCUAACCUGUUCCCCAGUCGGCCCUAGCUCCCCCGUCGAACACACCGAGAUACAACAGCGUGCCACACUGGGGAGGGAAGGUGCCAGUGGCGGGUCUAAAGAAAAUGAGAGAGAGGGACAACAUGAGGUAGUCUACAGUGGGCUUUUAAAGAACUUUUCUUGACAAAAGAAGCUGCCUAGCUGAAAACAAUCCUGAUGUUGCUCCGUAGAGCUGAGGGAACUGCAGAAUUGAGUGAUAAUUCUAAAUUAAAUGUCUCGUAUUUUGUAGGGAAAUUGGUAGAGAGUUAAGGAUACUGUUUGGGGAGAAAGCGGGAGUCGCACAGUUGGAGGUGGAAAAAGACGGAGGGAAAACAAGAUGAAGAUGGAGAUGGAAAGGCCCAUAUAGAAAAAGUGCUGAAGGAAGUAGAGAGGUACAAAGCAAGAGAGAUAUCACUCUGUCAAAAACUGGCUGUUAUGCUCCCCUCUCUUCCCUCUCCUGCCUCGCCUCUACCAGUUUCUGUUCCCUUGGUGGCCAAUUACCGUUAAUUAAAAUCCUCACUGCAGCUCUCCCAGACUCCCCCUCUUCCUCUCCUCCAAGACCUCCAUCUCUCUGCUUCGCCUGUCGCCCUGUCGCUCUCUCAUUUCUGUUUCCCUUUCUUUGAAGAUGUGGUGUUUCUGCCCGUCGCGAUCAACAGCUUAAACACCUUGUUUCAUCAUGUUCUUCUCAUCCUCACCUUUCUAUCUCUUCACCUCCUCUCUUUUUUUCUCUUGCUCACUCCCCCUCCUCAUCCUUUUUCUUUCUCCUUUGUAUCCCGCUCUUAUCCUCUACCCGCCUUUCCUUUCCUUCCCCAUCUCCUCUCUCUCCCUGCCUCCCCCUCUCUUCGUAUCAUCAUCAGCAGUAAGGGUUCUUUAGUAGUGCCAAGAGACUUGACAAGGCUCUGGGCUAAACACUGUAGCACUCAGACUGUGAUACCUUGCUAGUUGGGGGAGAUUUUUUUUCCUCCUCUUUUUUUGACAAGGUUGUCGACAUCUUUGCUUCUUCCUGCCUCGGCGUCAGCAGUGUGAGCCUUCUAGGUGUUAAAAAGCUUAAUCAAAGCUGCUGCUGAUGAGGAGGAGCGUGAUGAUGAUGAUCACAGCAGCCCUGGUGUUAAUUCAUUCAGUUAAUUCAUUCGCCUUAAAGGAGAAAAAGGGAUAAAAAAAAAGCUCCGGUGUUGCUUGGCUUAGGGAAAAGAGAGUUGUGCUGCUGCUCUUUGAUGAAGAGAAUUAUGUCCGCUCCUUUCAGCAUCGGCAUCUCAUUCCCCCCUUCUCGGUCCACUCUUGUCCUCCUGUUUAGAAUAACUGCCCCUCUGUCUUUUUCAGAGAAAGGUGAAAAGAGAUAGGGAGAGCCUUUACAAGACCUGAGCCCUCCUUUUGUGCCAAAGGCCCGGGCCUGGAUUUAAGAGCUGUGGCCGCUUGGCUGAGCACAAACUGAGGCCAAGCACACAAAGGACCAGCUCGCCUUUUUUCUGCCUCCUGCUUUAACGGCAGAUAAAGAAAGGCGAGGGACAGAUGGAGGUAUAAGAAGAGAGAGAGAGUAAGGGGAAGGGAAAGGAUGGAUGGACGGAUGGAUGGAUGGCCGUUGAGUAUGAAAAGCAGGAGCAGCGACUCGUGGCCUCCCAGGUAAGAAUGGUGAGAGG